rnacentral:rRNA from 1 species
GGGUCCGCACAAGCGGUGGAGUAUGUGGUUUAAUUCGAUGAUAAGCGAGGAACCUUACCUGGAUUCAAUUCAAUCUGACAGACUUAGAGAUAGGUUUUUCUUCGGACAGAUUGGAAGGUGCUGCAUGGUUGUCGUCAGCUCGUGCCGUGAGGUGUUGGGUUAAGUCCCGCAACGAGCGCAACCCUUACCUUUAGUUGCCAGCACAUUAUGGUGGGAACUCUAGAGGGAACUGCCUUCGUAAGGAGGAGGAAGGUGGGAUGACGUCAAAUCAUCAUGGCCCUUACGUCCAGGGCUACACACGUACUACAAUGGUCGGUACAAAGGGUUGCAACAUAGCGAUAUGAAGCCAAUCCCUAAAAGCCGAUCUC